GAGUUUGAUCGUGGCUCAGAACGAACGCUGGCGGCGUGCCUAACACAUGCAAGUCGAGCGGGAAAGUUCCCUUCGGGGGGCGAGUACAGCGGCGCACGGGUGAGUAACACGUAGGUAACCUACCUGCGAGACUGGGAUAACCUGCCGAAAGGCGGGCUAAUACCAGAUAAGACCACGAGGGCUGCGGUCCUUGGGGUAAAAGGUGGCCUCUUCAUGAAAGCUACUACUCGCGGAUGGGCCUGCGCGCCAUUAGCUAGUUGGCGGGGUAACGGCCCACCAAGGCAAAGAUGGCUAGCUGGUCUGAGAGGAUGGCCAGCCACACUGGGACUGAGACACGGCCCAGACUCCUACGGGAGGCAGCAGUGGGGAAUAUUGCGCAAUGGGCGAAAGCCUGACGCAGCGACGCCGCGUGGGUGAUGAAGGCCUUC
rnacentral:rRNA from 1 species